rnacentral:lncRNA from 10 species
AAAUUAUGUUCCUCUGACCCUCCUCGCUCUGCACAGAGCUUCAUCUUCUGGAACAGAUCCACCAAACGAGAGCCAGAAGAUGCAGCAGCCCAGGUCUAAUUUGUAUGCAGAGACCCUGGUCAGACAGGCAAAAUAUCUUUGUCCAAAAAACCUCAGAAUUGAAUAUCCAAACCCCUAUCUAGUUAGUGUGCUUCUUAGAAUACAAAUAGAAUUACAAAAUGUUUCAGUAAUCAAAAAGGGACAGCAUCGGCAAACAGUUGACAUCAAAAUUGUCUGCUCAUCAAAGAGGAAUGACAGAUCCUCCUUCAUCAACAUGUUUUCCUUAGGAAUGGUGCCAGGAUGCAGGGCAUAAGUGAGAGGACAGUUCCCUUGGUUAUGAGGUAACUAAAAAUAGCCACCUUUGAAAGCCAUCAGAGGUCACUUGUUUUGAAGAAAAUCAUCAGAAGAACUUUGAACUAUAAGAUAUUGACUAUUAAAUCAUGUUAUUUUCUUCAUUUGUCAAAGUUAUUGGGAUGUAGCAAAUACUUGAGACUUUGAAUUGAGUAGAUUUUGAGUAGAUUUAUGAAUGAAAUCAAAGGACACACAAAAACAGUGUAAUUCACCCAUCUGGAGACUCCACGUAUGAGUUUGAAAACUUUUAGUAUGUAUGCCAAUUAGUCCAUCCAGCCAAAUAGGCACAACAAUUUUCCGAUAAUAAGAAAAAUAAGACCAAGAAGCUAGCUGGAAUACUAAGAAAAACAACAGAGGGAGUUAAAUUCUUCAUUAAAAUUGACCACUUCUAGAGGCCUUGCAGGAAAUAUUAAAAUAAGUUCUUCAAUGAGAAUGAAAAUGAUAUAGGUCAGAAACUUGGAUCUGCAUGAAGAUACACCUUAAAAAAGGAAGAGCAUCAGAAAAAUGAAUAAGUGAAGGUCAAGUGCUGUGCUGUACUGAUUGAUAGAUUGUCUCCAGCAGGAAGUUUGACAAUGGACAACCUAGAAGCAGAUGUGCCUGAUAAAUGUAAAUGGUAGCUUCUUUGUGGCCCUUCCACCAGAAGUGAAGAAGCCUGGUGCAGAGCUUCUACUUGACCUAUGAUAGAUAUGCUGCUGGAGAAGAAAUCAACCUCCUGGUUCCCACCCAUAUCUUGCUCUGGUUAGUCACAAUCAGAAUCUUCACAACCACAAUCAGAAUCUUCCCACAGCCCUACCUGCAACACCUGCUUGUCUCUGCCAUUACAAUAUAAGCCUGAGGACCUCAACAGAUGCACCUGCCCAAUCUUAAACUUUCCAGCAAUCUGAAUUGUGAGCCAAAUAAUUUUUUUAUAAAUUAUCCAGCUUCAAGUAUUAUACCAACAAAAAAAAGGAACUUUUCAGUGUAUGUGGAGGAUCUUCAUAUUUUCUUAUGCAACACAAGCCAAGUCUCCACGAUGUGCAUGAAAAAUUAUAAUAUAUCUCUAUUGUUGUUUUUUUUUGUGUUUAACUCAGUGAGCUAUAUAAAUUUUUUUCAUUUGAAGAUAAUAUUCUAUUUUUUUAAGCUGAAGAAACUUCAAACUACAACUUGUGAAAUGUUAUUACUUCAGUGAAACUCAUUUAUUCUUAUUAUUCCAUAUUUUUUUUUUUUUUUGGGACGGAGUCUAGCUCUGGCGCCAGGCUGGAGUGCAGUGGCAUGAUCUUGGCUCACUGCAACCUCCACCUCCUGGGUUCAAGUGAUUCUCCUGCCUCAGCCUCACAAGUAGCUGGGAUUACAGGUGUGCACCACCACACCCAGCUAAUUUUUGUAUUAUUAGUAGAGAUGGGGUUUCACCAUGUUGGCCAGGAUGGUCUCAAUCUCUUGACGUCGUGACCCACCUGCCUUAUCCUCCAAAAGUGCUGAGAUUAUAGGCAUGAGCCACAAGCCCAGCCGACAUUAUUUUUUAUAUCGUAAUUGCUCUCCAGAGCUUUAUACAAGCAGGAAUCAGACUCUGCAUGCUUAAAGCCAAAAUAUGCCUUCCAAAUAUGUGCAUGUGUGUGUGUGUGUUUGUGGGUGAGUGAGUGUGUGAGCCACUUCUGAGCAAAGUGGCGGACUGGAUGGUUGAUCUACUUAUCCACUUAUGGCCACAUUAAUUAUACUUCAACCCCUUGUUUUGUUCAUGUGUGCCAGGAAAUGCAAUGAGUCAAUAUACUUACUGAGAUUGCAGAAGAGACUGAACACUGCGCUAGGCUCUGAAGAGAAAGAUGAAAAAGAAGAAAGUGCUCCUGAGUAUAUGACUACUUGUACUUGCUAGCACUGAGGCAAGUACAAACUCUAGGCAUCAGGCUUUUGGUCUCACUCUUAGCGAAUUUGAACACUGGCUUUUUUGUUGGGCUUCCAUUCUUCUCUCAGCGCAAGAAUACCAACGUUUAUGACCCAGGAAGCACCAACUUAUACUUCACAGAGCUAAGAAACAGCAUUUCGCCAUGUCACGCAGGCUGGUCUUCAACUCCUGGACUCAAGCUAUCCACGGGCCUCGGCCUCCCAAAGUGCUAGGAUUACAGGCAUGAGCCACUAUGUCCGGCUUGGAGUUUUUAGUCUCAUCAAACCAACUCACCCAAAUGUCCCUUGGUGACAAAAAGUUUUCUGAAAGAUUAAGUAAUCUUUGUUUCCCAAGCCUGACAAAAUAAAAAGUUUUCUGUCUCUCUCUUUCUCUUUUGCACUGUUUCUCUUUAAGUCUUGUUAGAAUACAGAACUGUAGACAUUUAGACAGAGCCAGGGUCAUUGUCUUGACUGGCCCACUGACCAGAUUAGUAAUUCUUAAACUAGGGUCCCUAGACCAGCACCACAGGCAUCUGUGGGCUUGUUAGAAAUGCACAUCCUUGGACCACUGAAUCAGAUAUUUUGAGAGUGGGCUCAAUAAUCUCUGUUUUGAGAAGACCCCCAAGUAAACCUGAUGCACAGUAAUUGUUGAGAAACACUGAAUAAAUUGUAUACCAUUAGCCUGUUUUUAAAAAUCAUCUGAGCCAUUCCUUUAUUAUAUGAGAUGACCAUUAAAAUCUCACUCAGUUUUAUCAUAUAAUGAAACAUUUGGUGAUAGCAUAAAACUCUAUUUUGAUGGCUCAGUUUUUAUGAUUUCCUUUGAUAUAAUUGUUUCCUUAAGAAGGUGCCAGUUUUGAAAAGGAAACUGUUUUGUUCCCUUUUGUACAGCACAAGCUAAGGAUCUAUGAUGGAAUGAUAAUUAAUCUGUAAACUAUAAUUAUGUUGUCGAUUCUGGCUGUAUAUGGGGCAUACCUGAUUCAUCUGCUACUUGAUGUCCUGCAUGACCAUCACCAGACACCAAGCAGCAGAACAAGACCAUGGACCACAGAGUCCUGGAAAUGUCUACCUCCUGAGCUGAGCCACCACCAGGAAUGGUGUCAGUAAAUGCAUGAGCACCAGAGUAUUUUGAAUGAAAGGAAAAAAGUGCAAUUCAGGAUAUGACUCCCUACCCCAGCCUACUAGCAGAUCCCAAAUGUUGUCAUAAUCCAGUAAAAUAUAACACUACCAAGUUGUGAGGCACUGAGAAACCAUUGCAGGUGAUAGCCAACUGUGUGUUCCCAACUCUGAGCAGUUCUGCCUGUCAGAAUCUUCCCAUCUCAGUCCCCACCCACCUCUUCAGCCUCAUGUUUCCUCAAGCCUUUCUUCAGAUUGACCACACUUCACUUCUGUGUCUACGAGGAUUUGCCUUGUCACUAAAAUUGUUAUGUUACAAUAGGGCCCCAUAUCCAUUAGGUAAUUGGCUUUGUCAUCACCUUCACUUCUAGUUACUUUCUUGGAAUGUUAAAUGAAACAUUCUUGCCUUAAUAGUAACAUCAGUUCCUACAUAUCUUCCUUGUGUGUGUUUGGUUGGCUGAUUGUCACUUUCUACUCUGAAUGUUGAAUCAGACUGCCACUUUCUACUCUGAAUGUUGAAUCACCUUCUUGCUCUGCCCUCUACUUGCAUUUUCUUGUCUACUUACCUGUCCACUUAUCUUUUGAUCUUUUUGCCUCCCCUUCUUUGGGCAUCCCUGUCCUUCAGCUUGCCUGGAUAUGACUUCUAGCCUUGUGUGAUCUUGGAUAUGUGUGCGUAGCCCAAAGUUAUACCAUUCAACAGACUCCAAUGUCAUUAAAGGGAUCUUGUUCCACCAUGUAUUUUUCUGCCUUUUCCCCUAAAUUACCAAAAUUUUUGGCCUGUUAACAUUUCUGUCUCUGUAUACAGAUCAUAGUCCUUUAAUGUACUUUACUACAUGCAGAAAUUCUAUUGAUUUGGAUUCAAGUCUUUCAUAUUUGGCAUUGCUUUGCAAUUCACUUGCUCUUUUAUAGACCCAUUUUGACAGUUCUCAAGAAGGCUGGUGAAACAAGCCUGGCUGUGAUUUGGGCUGCAAUUCUUUCUUUCUCUCCGUGAGAAAUCUUUGUAGCACUGUAGUCAAAGCUGCAUACAGAAUUGUCUGACCAGCUGCUGUCCAUGGAUAGAGCCAAGGCACCAGGCUGACCUCAUACCUAAGAAGCAGUUAUUCAGAAGUUGUACAUGAUUAUCAAAGAUGGAAUUUAUCUCUACCUAGGGCUAAAAGUUUAGGCAGUUCUGUACUGAUUACUUUUUUCAGUCACAUCAAACUCAUCCUCAUACAGAAUAAAAUAAAAUAAGUUUUUCGUGUGCCUGUCUUGCUUUGGGAAAUGAAGAAAUGAGAGUAAGUAUCAUCUUGUUUAUGAAGAGCAAAUACUAUGAUUAAAAAUCAAGAUUAAAAACCUCACACUGUUCAGGACAACUGGAUCACAAGAAUAUUUUGGUUUCAAGUAUCACUGAAUUUUAUUAAUCUCUCUAAGAAAACUUUAUACAAAUAAUAAUUAAGCCUUGGAUUUGCUGAAUGGAUGUUGGAAAAUAGUAAGGUAAAGAGAGGCCAGCAAUCUCUUUUGAACUACUAGCCUUCUGGACCAGUGUGACUCUGCCUUUGAUGAGGAGUACAGGAGGAGGAGAAAGACUUUUAAGAAGAUUGAGCACUUGUCAUAAAACAAGACUGCUAGGGACAUACAUAGCAUGGUUGAAAAAAUGACUUUUGGAGUCUCACUAUGGUCUGUACUAGCGCUAACAACAAAUGAAAAUACAAUGUGGGCCAAUUUGUAAUGUUUAAUGUUCUAAUAGCCACAUUAAUAUAUGUGAAUAAUCUGAUAAAAUUAAUUUCAACAAUAUAUUUUAUUUACCCAAAUAUGGAUGAAAUUAUUAUCCAACAUAUAAUCAAUGUAAAAUGUUUUUAAUGAAAUACUUUCAUUUAAAAAAAUUUGAACUAAGUUUUUGAAAUCCAGUAUGCAUUUUAAACUUGCAGCACAUCUCAGUUCAGACUAACUAUAACUCAAGUACUCAAUAGCACCUGUAGCCAGGGGCUCCCCUAUUGAACAGUGUAAUUUUGGUCCCAUAGCAUCCUCCAUUGACCAAGCAAUGAAGAAAAAAGUCCAACUAUGGUCCAGGAAAAAUAUCCAGUGCUGGCUGUGUCUAUAUUCUAAUAGUGAAUGCAUAGGUCAUCAUACAUAGUACAUGAUAAGCACUAGGAAUUGGGAAGACAAUAGUUAACGUCAUAUCUCUAUUUUGCAAUAGAACUCUAUAAACAGACAUCUUGAUGUUACAAAUUUUCUAUGUGGUUGAUGAUGUAGUUAAGUUAGGAAAAGUAGAGCCAAGCCGUGCCUCCAGAGAUAAGUCUUUUAGUUAACUUGAUCCUCUGGAAAAACAUUCUCUAUGAUGAAAGCUCAAAUGGUUCUUGCCCAUGUCUAAUACAUUGUGAGGUUUGGCUCUAUGUCCCCACCCAAUCUCAUGUUGAAUUGUAAUCCCCAUGUAUUGGAGGAAGGGCCUGGUGGGAGGUGAUUGGAUCAUGGGAGCGGAUUUCCCCCUUGCUGUUCUUGUGAUGGUCAGUGAGUUCUCAUGAGAUCUGAUGGUUUAAAAAUGUGUAGCACUUCCCUGUUUGCUCCCUCACUCUCCUGCAACCAUGUGAAGAAUGUGCCUUGCUUUCCCUUUGCCUUCUGCCAUGAUUGUAAGUUUCCUCAGGCUUCCCAGCCAUGCUUCCUGUUAAGCCUAUGGAACUGUGACUCAAUUAAACCUCUUUUC